rnacentral:pre_miRNA from 1 species
CGGCGGCGGCGGCUCUGGGCGAGGCGGCGGGGCCUGGGCUCCCGGACGAGGCGGG